rnacentral:rRNA from 1 species
GUGAAGCCCAGCUUGCUGGGUGGAUCAGUGGCGAACGGGUGAGUAACACGUGAGCAACCUGCCCUCCACUUCGGGAUAAGCCUUGGAAACGGGGUCUAAUACCGGAUAUGAGCUCGCAUCGCAUGGUGUGGGUUGGAAAGUUUUUCGGUGGGGGAUGGGCUCGCGGCCUAUCAGCUUGUUGGUGGGGUGAUGGCCUACCAAGGCGUCGACGGGUAGCCGGCCUGAGAGGGCGACCGGCCACACUGGGACUGAGACACGGCCCAGACUCCUACGGGAGGCAGCAGUGGGGAAUAUUGCACAAUGGGCGCAAGCCUGAUGCAGCGACGCCGCGUGAGGGAUGACGGCCUUCGGGUUGUAAACCUCUUUCAGCAGGGAAGAAGCGCAAGUGACGGUACCUGCAGAAGAAGCGCCGGCUAACUACGUGCCAGCAGCCGCGGUAAUACGUAGGGCGCAAGCGUUGUCCGGAAUUAUUGGGCGUAAAGAGCUCGUAGGCGGUCUGUCGCGUCUGGUGUGAAAUCCCGAGGCUCAACCUCGGGCUUGCAUCGGGUACGGGCAGACUAGAGUGCGGUAGGGGAGACUGGAAUUCCUGGUGUAGCGGUGGAAUGCGCAGAUAUCAGGAGGAACACCGAUGGCGAAGGCAGGUCUCUGGGCCGCAACUGACGCUGAGGAGCGAAAGCAUGGGGAGCGAACAGGAUUAGAUACCCUGGUAGUCCAUGCCGUAAACGUUGGGCACUAGGUGUGGGGCUCAUUCCACGAGUUCCGUGCCGCAGCUAACGCAUUAAGUGCCCCGCCUGGGGAGUACGGCCGCAAGGCUAAAACUCAAAGGAAUUGACGGGGGCCCGCACAAGCGGCGGAGCAUGCGGAUUAAUUCGAUGCAACGCGAAGAACCUUACCAAGGCUUGGCAUGUACGAGAAAGCCCCCGAGACGGGGUUCUCUUUGGACACUCGUACACAGGUGGUGCAUGGUUGUCGUCAGCUCGUGUCGUGAGAUGUUGGGUUAAGUCCCGCAACGAGCGCAACCCUCGUCCUAUGUUGCCAGCGGGUUAUGCCGGGGACUCAUGGGAGACUGCCGGGGUCAACUCGGAGGAAGGUGGGGAUGACGUCAAAUCAUCAUGCCCCUUAUGUCUUGGGCUUCACGCAUGCUACAAUGGCCGGUACAGAGGGCUGCGAUACCGUAAGGUGGAGCGAAUCCCAAAGAGCCGGUCUCAGUUCGGAUUGGGGUCUGCAACUCGACCCCAUGAAGUCGGAGUC